AUAUACGGUUUUAUCGUCGUAUAAUUGGAAUGAGUACAAUUUAAAUCCCUUAACGAGGAACAAUUGGAGGGCAAGUCUGGUGCCAGCAGCCGCGGUAAUUCCAGCUCCAAUAGCGUAUAUUAAAGUUGUUGCAGUUAAAAAGCUCGUAGUUGGACCUUGGGCCUGGACGGGCGGUCCGCCUCACGGCGUGUACUGUCUUGCCGGGCCUUUCCUCUUGGUGAUCUGUUGUUUCGGCAGCAGGGAACCAGGACCUUUACUUUGAAAAAAUUAGAGUGUUCAAAGCAGGCUCGACGCCGGAAUAUAUUAGCAUGGAAUAAUAAAAUAGGACGUGCGGUUCUAUUUUGUUGGUUUUUGGAAUCGCCGUACUGAUUAAUAGGGACAGUCGGGGGCAUUAGUACUCACAUGCUAGAGGUGAAAUUCUUGGAUUUUGUGAAGACUAACUUCUGCGAAAGCAUUUGCCAAGGAUGUUUUCAUUAAUCAAGAACGAAGGUUAGGAUAUCGAAAACUUAGGCAAACUCGGUCAUUUAGAGGAAGUAAAAGUCGUAACAAGGUAACC
rnacentral:rRNA from 1 species